GAUGAACGCUGGCGGCGUGCCUAAUACAUGCAAGUCGAGCGAACAGACGAGGAUCUUGCUCCUCUGACGUUAGCGGCGGACGGGUGAGUAACACGUGGAUAACCUACCUAUAAGACUGGGAUAACUUCGGGAAACCGGAUCUAAUACCGGAUAAUAUAUUGAACCGCAUGGUUCAAUAGUGAAAGACGGUUUUGCUGUCACUUAUAGAUGGAUCCGCGCCGCAUUAGCUAGUUGGUAAGGUAACGGCUUACCAAGGCAACGAUGCGUAGCCGACCUGAGAGGGUGAUCGGCCACACUGGAACUGAGACACGGUCCAGACUCCUACGGGAGGCAGCAGUAGGGAAUUUUCCACAAUGGGCGCAAGCCUGACCGAGCAACGCCGCGUGAGUGAUGAAGGCCUUCGGAUCGUAAACCUCUGUUAUUAGGGAAGAACACAUGUGUAAGUAACUAUGCGCGGCUUGACGGUACCGGAUCAAAAAGCCACGGCUAACUACGUG
rnacentral:rRNA from 1 species